GAUAAAAAUUAAAACUUAUUUCUGGCCAAAAGAAAAUACUUCACCUAAAGAUUUCCUUUCCCUCAAACAUCUAACAUUUCCACUCCUCUCAAACUUAAAUGAAGUGUGUGAUUUUCAGCAGAGGACAUGAAGAAAUUGGCUUUCUCUCAAGAAGAACUAAGAACACAUUCCAUGUUGAAGAUUGAAGAGAUGAAGAACGCGAUUUCCUCACAGAUUCCUUGUUGAAGCGUUUUCCAUCAGAUUUCUUGUUUAAAAUUUAACAAAAUGCUUCACAGAUGAACAUGCCUCGGUCUUAAAGCUUUAGGUUUUUUGGAAUGAAGUUUAUAAGGUGGUCUGUAGAUAAUGAACAGGAAUUCGUUGGACAGGACAAUGAUUUUGAGUGAAUGCAAAUAGUUGAACCUGUUAUAAAAAUGGUAUACCGAAGCUAUAUAUGGUACUUCCAUUGAAAAAAACAGAAUGUUGUUGUUUGCCAUUUUCCAGAUACAGAUCUUGGUUUUGUGUCUUGCCAAGCAAAAGAGAUGUUAGACCAUCUUGAGAGUGUUCUUGCAUCUGAGCAUGUUCUGAAGAGUGGGCAGUUCAUUGUUGAAGUUAAGCCUCAGGUUUGCCAUAUCUUAGCCUUUGCAUUUGAUUCUGACUUACUUGCUCCUUCUGUUUAAUAGACGAAUCAAUCAACUACACCUCAUUUCAUGGAAAACCUACCUCGUUUAACUUGACCGGAUAAUAUAAACAGGUACAAACUACAAGACCUAAUAAAUAUAGUAGGAGAUAUGUAUAUUGUUGUUUUGUUCCUUGGCGGAACAAAUAGAUUCUACUGUAUUUUCGAGGAGGAGGAUGCUGGAAUUGCCAAAAUAAAUAAGCAAUACCAAAAUAAGAGAAUGAUGACAGACAUCUCAUUGUGAUUGAGGUAAUGUACUGAUUCCUAGUGUAUGAUGUGAUGUAGAAAAUUAGAGCACAAUUUUUUUUAUCCUUCAACUGAUUUAUCCGGUAUAUACUCUUGAAUCUAUGAGUAGCUAAACAAAUUUAUUCCUGAAAAUCUCUUGUUGAUUAUAAUUGUUUAUCAUGUCUUAAUAAUGUUAUAAUAAGCAUCUUUAGAAGGUUUGCUACAGAACUAUUCUAUGAACAAGUAUGCCCAGACUAUGCCAUCCUAAGGUUGAAACCGGUAGGCAAGAAGGUCGUUUAGGGGAGUAAACAAAGUUGAGGCGCUGUUAGGGUAACUAAUCAAAGAAGAAAGCUGUAGUAGUGACUAGACGAGAUGGUUAUUAAAUCAUUAUUAUUACAUAAUAGAUAAAUAUAAUUCAUUAAGAGGUUGGAAGGAAUAAAACUUUUAGCAAAAAUGAAUAAGAUGACUACCUAUUUAAUUGAUGAUAAUGAUGAAUAUAAGAUAUUACUACUUUAUAUACUAAAGAAUCUUAAUACUGACAUAAAAAGAGAAAUUUAUGAUAAAUUGGUAACAUAUGAAAUAAUAGAGAUAACAAUUCAAGGUUGGACUGAGUUAACCAUACAAAGUAUACAAGACGAACUUUAUUAUGAUAUGUCUGAUUUAUAUGAUGAUUUAGAUAUUGGAGAUUAAUAAAAAUGCCUGAAAAUUGGAUAAGACGAAGUAUGACAUAUAGAAGAAAGUUAGUUAAAAACCCAGAAAAACUUAGUAAGCUUUUCAAAAUUUUAUAUAGAAAAAUAUAAUGAAUAAAAGUAAAGAAAUU